GAGAGGUCUGAUCCUGGGCCUUAAUAAGCAUCAUCACUUCCUCUUGGGUGAAAGGGGGACCGGCAGAUGCGUAGCCCCACAGGACAUGUUCGAAGUCCGUAU
rnacentral:lncRNA from 1 species